UACGUAGGGGGCAAGCGUUGUCCGGAAUCAUUGGGCGUAAAGAGCGCGUAGGCGGCCCAGUAAGUCCGCUCUGAAAAGUCAGGGGGCUCAACCCCUGGAUGCGGGUGGAUACUGCUGGGCUAGAGUCCGGAAAGAGGUGAGUGGAAUUCCUGGGUGUAGCGGGUGAAAAUGCGCAGAUAUCAAGGAGGAACACCGAUGGCGAAGGCAGCUCACUGGGACGGUACUGACGCUGAGGCGCGAAAGCGUGGGGAGCAAACAGGA
rnacentral:rRNA from 1 species